rnacentral:rRNA from 1 species
UACGUAGGGUGCGAGCGUUGUCCGGAAUUAUUGGGCGUAAAGAGCUCGUAGGCGGUGUGUCACGUCGGCCGUGAAAACCUGCAGCUUAACUGUGGGCGUGCGGUCGAUACGGGCAUCACUGGAGUUCGGCAGGGGAGACUGGAAUUCCUGGUGUAGCGGUGAAAUGCGCAGAUAUCAGGAGGAACACCGGUGGCGAAGGCGGGGUCUCUGGGCCGAUACUGACGCUGGAGGAGCGAAAGCGUCGGGGAGCGAACAGG